rnacentral:tRNA from 1 species
UCCCUUGUGGCUUAGUUGGUAAAGAAUCUGCCUGCAAUGCGGGAGACCUGGGUUCGAUCCCUGGGUUGGGAA